rnacentral:rRNA from 1 species
GACGAACGCUGGCGGCGUGCUUAACACAUGCAAGUCGAACGGAAAGGCCCUGCUUUUGUGGGGUGCUCGAGUGGCGAACGGGUGAGUAACACGUGAGUAACCUGCCCUUGACUUUGGGAUAACUUCAGGAAACUGGGGCUAAUACCGGAUAGGAGCUCCUGCUGCAUGGUGGGGGUUGGAAAGUUUCGGCGGUUGGGGAUGGACUCGCGGCUUAUCAGCUUGUUGGUGGGGUAGUGGCUUACCAAGGCUUUGACGGGUAGCCGGCCUGAGAGGGUGACCGGCCACAUUGGGACUGAGAUACGGCCCAGACUCCUACGGGAGGCAGCAGUGGGGAAUAUUGCACAAUGGGCGGAAGCCUGAUGCAGCAACGCCGCGUGCGGGAUGACGGCCUUCGGGUUGUAAACCGCUUGCGCCUGGGACGAAGCGUGAGUGACGGUAAUGGGUAAAGAAGCACCGGCUAACUACGUG